GUGUCAUGACAGAAACCAAAACCAGACUGCACUUCGGGAUGGAGGGAGCAGACAGUUGCAUGGAAUGCUGGCUCAGAAAUGAAGAAAGAAAAUCAGAAAUAGGAAAAAGCUUGCAUAAUUGCUGAAACUAGGGUAGGAAUGCCAACCAUCAACACAUUUCUUCCCACGGUAGUACAGAUGAGGCCACGUUGCUGUAUUUUUCUAGUGAAUUUUGAGAGGAAAUCUUGGUGAAACCUCCCAUGGGAAUGACCAAUGUGGAAGGAGAACAUGGAUUUAGAACUCACUAUUUCACAUGAACCCACUUCGUUCUCCAGAGAUCAUCACC
rnacentral:lncRNA from 10 species